GUUGUUGUGGCCGAGUGGUUAAGGCGAUAAACUAGAUGCGUAGGUUCGAAUCCUGCCAACAAUG
rnacentral:tRNA from 1 species